AAGUGAACGUCACCUGCCCCAGGGUCACUUGGCAGCAGAGCCCCGCGACAGAAGGGGCUCCACUGAAAGGGCAGCGCAAAUCCGGGGCAUUAAAAUAACCCGAAUGGUGUUGUUUUCUGAUCAAGUGCCUUUCCCUCCCGGGUUUGUGAGUUUCGAGCCUGAGAAUGUCUCCCCACAGCUCAGGUUUCUCUGCUGCCACCCUGAUCUCAGCCUGGAAUCCAGGUCUGAUGGAACUAUGUCACAGUCCCGAAAUGGAGAGACUUCAUCUCGCAGACGGUGGUGCUGGCAGGCCCAGCUCAGGCGGCUGGUCCCGGGCCCCGGGCAGCGUGGCACAUCCCAGCUCUCGGUGGACAGAGGGCCUGAGCUCCAAUCUGUGCCCAGUAAACUGGGGUCUGUGAGCCUCCCACCGAGAGCAGACGGGGAGCACAGGCCGAGGUGCCACAGGCUCACUUGGGGACAAUCACGUCGGUUUGCAGACAGGUGGACCCUGGUGGGAGGCCCUUGAGUUUCUGGAAGGUUGGAUUGGAGGGCGGCGAGCAGCCAGUCACACGAUGGAAGACAUGGCUCACGGCCGAGCUGAGCCCCUCUCUUUCAUUAGCGGGGCCCCGGUGUGAUGGCGUCACCCGCAGGGCAGGUGGGGCCUGGGGGUCAACGAGGAACCACCCCUUUCUUGGUGAGGACUAGGCCUCAAGGGGGACCACCCACUGCUCGUGUGCAAGAGAAGGCAGCAGAGUGUGGCCCCUUGGGCCUGGUGAUCUCCUGGGUUGAGGAGCAGCCCUUCCAGAGCAGCCGGGGGCAGAGGGUGCCUGGGCCCUGUGCUCGGCCAGCCUCGCUCCCCACCUCCUCUGUGAGAACUGCAGCGGCAGCCAAGCCAUUGCCCCUACUCCCACUUCAGCCCCUGCAAACUCCCUCCGGAUGUCCCCUCGAGCCUCUUCGUAGUCCAGGAGCCGCGCCUUCUGCCGGGCAAGGUGUAGGAAGCCUGGCCUCCAGGUCCCAGAGCUUUGAGGCCCUUCCCCGCGCAGGCUGUAUUUUAUCUCUCAGUGCCCCCAGUGCCACGCAAGGUGCUCACAACACUGACUCUGAAGAAUGCACCAAUGGCAGCCCAUCACACCUGGCGUGGAAUCCUGAGGUGAGAUCCAGGGAUCAGCCUCAUCUCCCCACAGCCUCCCCACCUCCGCCAGGGACCCCGUGCUCACAUCAGGCCUCUGGCCCGUUUGUCUGCUGGCAUGUCCAGGGCUCAUUCCCUUGUCCAUUGUUUCUCUCGCCAAAUGCCGUCUUCUCUUCUCAGACAGGACUUUCCUGAGCAGGCGGGCUGGAAAAUAGCUGUCUUUACCACAUAAUCCCAUCCUGCUGUGUUGUUCUUAGCACUUACUACCAACUGACAGUCAUUGCAUUAGCUCACACAAUAGAUUACUUCGUGACACUGCAAAUGUUUCAAUUUUUUGUUGUGUGUGACUGACUCCCAUAAGACUGCAAGCUCCAGGAGGGCCAAGACCUGGCUUUCUCCCCAACUAGUCCUGCGUGCUGGCCCAUAGCAGUGAUGGAAUGCUAUAGGUACUCCUCACUGAACAAAUGGGUGAGAAAAUGCAUGAGCAGAUGAAUGUUUCUUUGUAAAGUAAGAACCGAUAUAAAUUAUCUCUUAGUGUGAUGGGUAAUCAACCCCCAAAUGAUCUAAGGCUUCCUUUUAAAGAACCAAAGAGCAUAAGAACUAUAAAGGUCUUUGAAAGCUGGUCAAUCCCCAAAUGUAUACAGUAGGAAACUGAGUCCCAGGGCGGGAGAAGGGCUGCAGUGAACACUCAUAAAAUCAGUGUCUUUGACUUCCAGCCAUCAGCUCUUUCUAAAACAGGGUCUGACAUGACAACUCUUCUGAACAGAUUCUGACCUGUCAAUUUUCUACUGGUUUUGCAUGCAAAUAAUUUUUACUAAGAUGAAAAACAAAACAGACAAGAGAACAAGGCCAGCAGCAUCAAAUUUCACCUCCUAUUGCCUCCAGGUAUGUUGACUGAAAAGCAAGCCUCUGUACUGCCCAGAGUCCCUUCAGUAAGCUUUGUUGUUGUUGAGUCACUCGGUUGUGUCCGACUCUCUGCGACCCUACAGACUGCAGCACACCAGACUUCUCUGUCCUUCCCCAUCUCCCAGAGCUUGCUCAAACUCAUAUCCAUUGAGUUGGUGAUGCCAUCCAACCAUUCAUCCCCUGUUACCCCUUCUCCUCCUGCCUUCAGUCUUGUUUCUGCAUUCUUCCCCACUUUUGUGUGUCCGGCAGGACCCUGCAAGAUUGUCUGCAAUUGGAAUAGAAGAAAUGCAAGCGUAAGCCAAAAGCUAAGUUGUGCCUGGGACUCCACCCUCCGUCUGCCCUUCUCCCCAGACACCUGUGGAAUCUCACCGUGGGUAUUUUAGAUGGACGCAACCCACUCAGUUCUGCAGUAAGGGGUGCACCUGCUCUGCUCAUCAGACAUCAGCCAUUCUUGAUGUUCCUUUUAAAGAAAUUCUCUAGAGGCUUCUAAGAAACUCCCAGCCUAUCAAAGCCUUCUCUCCCAGCUGGCCCUGGAGGGUGACUCCCCAAUCUUGCUCUGCAUGUAAAAUUAUGUUUGACAGCAAUGAAAACCAACAGUUCAACAGCAAUCAUUUCUUGGCAGGGCAGAUUGGCAUGAGACCUGCCCCAAAACAAAAUAAGCCUUUCAGGGAAGUAUUUUUCAAGCUGGGUUGGCCUUCUCAAGCCUCUUGGAGAUUCUAGUAUGGCUGACUUGGGAGUCGAGGCUGAGCCCCAGCCAGAGCCAUCAGUGACAGUCAAUGACAUGAUGGCCAGGAGGGAGACCCAGGGCUUGCUCAAACUCAUAUCCAUUGAGUUGGUGAUGCCAUCCAACCAUUCAUCCCCUGUUACCCCUUCUCCUCCUGCCUUCAGUCUUGUUUCUGCAUUCUUCCCCACUUUUGUGUGUCCGGCAGGACCCUGCAAGAUUGUCUGCAAUUGGAAUAGAAGAAAUGCAAGCGUAAGCCAAAAGCUAAGUUGUGCCUGGGACUCCACCCUCCGUCUGCCCUUCUCCCCAGACACCUGUGGAAUCUCACCGUGGGUAUUUUAGAUGGACGCAACCCACUCAGUUCUGCAGUAAGGGGUGCACCUGCUCUGCUCAUCAGACAUCAGCCAUUCUUGAUGUUCCUUUUAA
rnacentral:lncRNA from 1 species